AAAAACAUGUUUACAGAGCCGCCACCGACGCUAUUCAUCCUAUGACGGAAAGGAAGCGCAGGACUAACCUAAGAAAGGGAAAAGGAACGGUCUUACGACCAUAGAUUACAAGGAACGGGAGUCGGUUACGCAAGGGGAAGGUAUUAGCACCCCUCACGUCCGCCGUACUCAACGGGAUCCACGCUUAAAUGAAUAGGAAAAGGUUG
rnacentral:lncRNA from 1 species